UACAGAGGUCUCAAGCGUUGUUCGGAUUCAUUGGGCGUAAAGGGUGCGUAGGCGGCGCGGUAAGUCGGGUGUGAAAUCUCGGGGCUUAACUCCGAAACUGCAUUCGAUACUGCCGUGCUUGAGGACUGGAGAGGAGACUGGAAUUUACGGUGUAGCGGUGAAAUGCGUAGAUAUCAGGAGGAACACCGAUGGCGAAGGCAGCUCACUGGGACGGUACUGACGCUGGAGACGCGAAAGCGUGGGGAGCAAACAGG
rnacentral:rRNA from 1 species